UUACCCUUCUGGGACUGCUCCGAGCUGUUGAACAUGCUGGCAAAGGCCAGCCUGGGGGCCACCUCGCGGGCAUUGAUGACCUCAGCUUUUCCUAGAAGAAGCAGGUAGGCAGGCCCACCCACCAAAACCCUUUAUGCCACGUGAGCCUGGGGGCCACCCAGCUGUGCCUCGGCCCAACCCACACCCCCUGCCCCUCUCCCUCUCCGCUUCCGAGGCACUCAUGAGUGGUGCUGUUGUAGAUGGUGAGGAAGAG
rnacentral:lncRNA from 1 species